GUGGGGAAUAUUGCACAAUGGGGGAAACCCUGAUGCAGCGACGCCGCGUGAGUGAAGAAGUAUUUCGGUACGUAAAGCUCUAUCAGCAAGGAAGAAAAUGACGGUACUUGACUAAGAAGCCCCGGCUAACUACGUGCCAGCAGCCGCGGUAAUACGUAGGGGGCAAGCGUUAUCCGGAUUUACUGGGUGUAAAGGGAGCGUAGACGGUAUGGUAAGUCAGAUGUGAAAGCACGGGGCUCAACCCCGGGACUGCAUUUGAAACUAUCAGACUAGAGUGCAGGAGAGGUAAGUGGAAGUCCUAGUGUAGCGGUGAAAUGCGUAGAUAUUAGGAGGAACACCAGUGGCGAAGGCGGCUUACUGGACUGUAACUGACGUUGAGGCUCGAAAGCGUGGGGAGCAAACAGGAUUAGAUACCCGUGUAGUCC
rnacentral:rRNA from 1 species